GGUCUCAGUUCGGACUGUAGGCUGCAACUCGCCUACACGAAGUUGGAAUUGCUAGUAAUCGUGGAUCAGCAUGCCACGGUGAAUACGUUCCCGGGUCUUGUACACACCGCCCGUCACACCAUGGGAGCUGGUAACACCCGAAGUCAGUAGUCUAACCGCAAGGAGGACGCUGCCGAAGGUGGGAUUAGCGACUGGGGUGAAGUCGUAACAAGGUACC
rnacentral:rRNA from 1 species